GACAGAGGUGCCGAGCGUUAGGCGGAAUCACUGGGCUUAAAGCGUGUGUAGGCGGAUUGGUAAGUACCUUGUGAAAUCCCACGGCUUAACCGUGGAACUGCUUGGUAUACUGGCGGUCUUGAGCCAGCUAGGGGCUACCGGAACAAAUGGUGGAGCGGUGAAAUGCGUAGAUAUCAUGUGGAACGCCAAUGGUGAAAACAGGUAGCUGGGGCUGUGCUGACGCUGAGACACGAAAGCCAGGGGAGCAAACGGG
rnacentral:rRNA from 1 species